rnacentral:rRNA from 1 species
UGAUCCUGGCUCAGGAUGUACGCUGGCGGCGUGCUUAACACAUGCAAGUCGAACGAUGAAGCCCAGCUUGUUGGGUGGAUUAGUGGUAGAACGGGUGAGUAACACGUGAGUAACCUGCCCUUAACUCUGGGAUAAGCCUGGGAAUCUAGGUCUAAUACCGGAUAGGAGCGCUCUACUGCAUGGUGGGUGUUGGAAAGAUUUAUCGGUUUUGGAUGGACUCCGCGGCCUAUCAGCUUGUUGGUGAGGUAAUGGCUCACCAAGGCGACGACGGGUAGCCGGCCUGAGAGGGUGACCGGCCACACUGGGACUGAGACACGGCCCAGACUCCUACGGGAGGCAGCAGUGGGGCAUAUUGCACAAUGGGCGAAAGCCUGAUGCAGCGACGCCGCGUGAGGGAUGACGGCCUUCGGGUUGUAACCUCUUUCAGUAGGGAGAAAGCGAAAGU